rnacentral:lncRNA from 10 species
CUGUUCUCAGCGCCUUAGAGAACUUUUAAGAAACUUGCCAUACGACUAGGAAGUGGAGCAGCUGCGGUUUCACGCAGGUCAUUUGACUUAGGAGCCGCAGCGUUCAACCACGUCUGACUACCUCCAUUCUUCAGUGGCCCAUUUUCUCUUCCACUCAUCCGAGCAUGUCAUCAGACAUUACCUUAUAUGAUUAUUAAGUUUUUAAUAUAUCUUUGUAUCAUCUCUCCAGGAUUAUUGCGGAUGUCUUGAGCAUGGGACCAUUCUUUUUGCAUCCACCAAAUAACUAUUGUACUACUUUGCAUAUAUAAAUAUGAAAUCCAUACUGGUUCAGUGGAAUGAAGUGAGUUGACAUCUUCUAUUACAAAAUCUACGAGGAAAUCUAGAGGCCUCCAAGGACCUGGCUGGGCUUCAACUCUGGCUGAGUUUGAGAUGAGUAAACCAGACUGAAGGACCUUGCCCAAGGCCUGCUUCAGCUGCCAGCCACCCACACUUGCUAAGAGAAAGGAAAGGAGCUUUGUCACCUCCUGAGGGACUGCCUCUGCCAUCAGAAAACCACCCCAAUCCCUGGCACCAGCAGAGCUGGGUUGCAUCUGACUACCGUUAGCAGCUGUCCUUCAGAAGGAGGAGAUCCACCUGUCUCGAUAUCAGUGUCCUCAUUUGUGGAAUAAAAGCUCUGGAAUAAGAUCCACCCUGAUUUCAGCGGGCGUUCCUGGGUCUUGUAUGCACUAGGUGCCCUCAAUGCUUGGCAACUGGAAUGGGUUAGCCUGGAGGCAUUUAGGCUGUCCUUCUACAACCACAGAAGAGCCAUCACUGGCAGAGAGAUCCUUGGCGCAGUUAAGCAGAGAUCUUCUCAGAAGAGCUUUUGAAUAAAUGAAGUUGUUCAGAAUGGCCUUGUUAAAAUGACUCACUUGUCAAAAAACUAGAUGUGUUGGAAGGCUGGGUUGGAAGACAAGAUGUCUGAGAAGCUGUCCUGCUGCAUGAGGAGUUUCAUUGCUACACACCUAGUCUCUGGGUCCUGUGUUUUUGGCCUCCAGCUUACUUCGUGAACAUAAUAAAGGAAAGGCAUUUUCUCUUGUGCAUGCUAUGUGUGCAUGUGUGUAUGUACUUGUUGUCUAUGGCUAUUAAUUUCUUAUGUAUACUACUCCCGUUUUGCGCUUACCCAUUGUAUUCUUUGAAGGACACAACUAGAUCGAUGACACUGUAUACCCAUCAUCUCUCCCC